AAAUCCCGGAGCCCGACGGACGCCGGGAAGGGCUCGUACGCUCCCUUUACGAACCCCGCGGAAACUAGUACCUCUGACUGCUGGUUCCGCGGCGGAGAAUGGCGGCCCACAAACAUGAGCUUGGCUCCAAGUGCAGAGUAAGAUUCAGACGAGUUCAGGAGAUCUGACCACAUACCAGAGACCCAAAGAAUGUAGCUGAGGAUCCGGAUCCCACAGCACUGUCCUGUACAAGUCCACCUGAACACCUAGAGCCCGUGGCAGUGGCCCCCAGGAGUACAGCGGGAAGCCAAGAGCCCAUGACAAUGACUCACAUAAAUUUGUACCAAGAAUCUGGACUGGGAAGGCCCAAAGGCCAGUGGCGGAAGCUAAACAGUCUGUGCCAGAGGGAUGAAGGAUCUGUGCCAGCAGGCUGAGGGAUCUGCACUGGAGCCAGGAAGCAGUGCUCAAGGGAAAGACCAGAGCUCCUCAGAAGAGAACCACAGCCACCCUCAUCCACAGCAAGGACUGGAGUGCCUAUGAUGAUGAGAACAGCUGAGAUCAGAUCAGGAGAACCAGAAGGACAAGCUUCUCCAGAAUCCACAGCACAUCAUUUGCCCCUCUGCUCUAACACAGUUGCCAGUGAUCCUCACGUGGACCUUCCACCCCCAGGACCGCAUGGACUCAGUUCAGGUGGGUGUUACAAGCAGACCGUCAGUCAACCCACCCCAUCAACUUUGCUCAUGUGUUGAGUUUUUCUUAUUACUAUUUAUUCAUUGUGUUCUUCAUAUGUCAUGGUGAUUGCCAGCCUCUAAUCCUCUGUAUGCCUGGUGGGAAAAUCACCACUAGGAGUCCUCACCCCAAAGAGCCUGUACCAUGCCAGGGGCUGUGCACAGUGCAGACCCCUGAGCAUGCGCAGCGCUAUGUGGCUGCUGGGCCCUGGGCUGAGGAACUCGGUCCUGUCCAGGCCAAAACUGAGUCUCCUAAUGAUUGCAGUGUGCACCCACAACCACUGAAUGUUGUGUAGUCCUGCCAGUUGAUGCUAAAAACAGAUGAAUCAUUCAAAUUCCUACAGGAGAAUAGCUUUAAGAUUCAGGUAUCCCUACAAUGAAUGUGAUCAUUAUGUGUAUGGGGGGAACUGCUCAGCCUGAGACAAGGCUCGGAUCAUGUAAGGGUGCUUCCAGACAGCCCUGAAGACAUGACCCUGUUGUCAGCCCGGAGCACAUGGAGCACAAAUGACCACAACUUGGCUGUGUACAAUUGUUCAUGGACCAGGGAGGCCUGCAUGUAAGAAUGUAAAUCAGUGAUGCCAACCUUUAUACACAAUAAAGAUUCCGGUGGCUGUA